AACAAGGUUUCCGUAGGUGAACCUGCGGAAGGAUCAUUACCGAGUGUAGGGUUCCUAGCGAGCCCAACCUCCCACCCGUGUUUACUGUACCUUAGUUGCUUCGGCGGGCCCGCCAUUCAUGGCCGCCGGGGGCUCUCAGCCCCGGGCCCGCGCCCGCCGGAGACACCACGAACUCUGUCUGAUCUAGUGAAGUCUGAGUUGAUUGUAUCGCAAUCAGUUAAAACUUUCAACAAUGGAUCUCUUGGUUCCGGCAUCGAUGAAGAACGCAGCGAAAUGCGAUAACUAGUGUGAAUUGCAGAAUUCCGUGAAUCAUCGAGUCUUUGAACGCACAUUGCGCCCCCUGGUAUUCCGGGGGGCAUGCCUGUCCGAGCGUCAUUGCUGCCCAUCAAGCACGGCUUGUGUGUUGGGUCGUCGUCCCCUCUCCGGGGGGGACGGGCCCCAAAGGCAGCGGCGGCACCGCGUCCGAUCCUCGAGCGUAUGGGGCUUUGUCACCCGCUCUGUAGGCCCGGCCGGCGCUUGCCGAACGCAAAUCAAUCUUUUUCCAGGUUGACCUCGGAUCAGGUAGGGAUACCCGCUGAACUUAAGCAUA
rnacentral:rRNA from 1 species